AACGAACGCUGGCGGCAUGCCUAACACAUGCAAGUCGAACGAGACCUUCGGGUCUAGUGGCGCACGGGUGCGUAACGCGUGGGAACCUGCCCUUAGGUUCGGAAUAACUCCCCGAAAGGGGUGCUAAUACCGGAUAAUGUCUUCGGACCAAAGAUUUAUCGCCUUUGGAUGGGCCGGCGUUGGAUUAGCGAGUUGGUAGGGUAAAAGCCUACCAAGGCGACGAUCCAGAGCUGGUCUGAGAGGAUGAUCAGCCAGACUGGGACUGAGACACGGCCCAGACUGCUACGGGAGGCAGCAGUGGGGAAUAUUGGACAGGGGGCGAAAGCCUGAUCCAGCAAGGCCGCGAGAGUGAUGAAGGCCUUAGGGUUGUAAAGCUCUUUUACCCGGGAUGAUAAUGACAGUACCGGGAGAAUAAGCUCCGGCUAACUCCGU
rnacentral:rRNA from 1 species